GACGAACCAUGCAAACGUUAUUCGGAUUCACUGGGCUUAAAGCGUGCGUAGGCGGUCUUGUUAGUCAGGUGUGAAAGCCCUCAGCCUAACUGAGGAAUUGCGCUUGAUACUGCAUGACUAGAGAAUGAUAGAGGUGGGUGGAACUGAUGGUGGAGCGGUGAAAUGCGUUGAUAUCAUCAGGAACACCAGUGGCGAAGGCGACCCACUGGGUCAUUUCUGACGCUGAGGUACGAAAGCGUGGGGAGCAAACAGG
rnacentral:rRNA from 1 species